GCCGGGUGUAGUGGCACAUACCUGUAAUCCCAACUACUAGGGAGGCUGAGGUGGGAGGAUUGCUUGAGCCCGGGAGGUCUAGGCUGCAGUGAGCCAUGAGCUUGCUACUGCACUCCAGCCUGGAUGACAGAGUGAGAGCCCAUCUCAA
rfam:Pan troglodytes isolate Yerkes chimp pedigree #C0471 (Clint) chromosome 2B, whole genome shotgun sequence.